UAGGCAAAACUAAAUUGUAUAGUUGCAUUAAUUUUUAAUUAGAUUUUUGGGGAAUUUUGCCCGAUACCCCUAUUUGAAAGCCUUUAAUGAAAUAUACCCCUCUCCUUUCAAGGUUUUUUGUUUUACCCUUUUAUUUUUUAAUAUUCCUAAACUAUCCUUUUCAAAUAUCAAAAGGAAAAAUACACAUGAAAUGCCCAACGAAAAGAGGAAAGGGAAAAUGAGAGAAUGGCGAAGCAGCUACCAGAGAGUUCUUCAGGAGGAGAGAUGAGUGGAGGAAGCAUCCUAGGUUCAGUAAUUAGCCCAGCCAUGCCCUUCUCGGUUUUGGCCUUGGAGUCUCGUCAUCGACAUCUACCUGAUCGACAAGCAAAUCUACAGCAAACUCCUUGGUCCUUCCUCCUCCUCCUCUUUUGGGUCUGCUUUUAAUGGUGUGGUCUUUCCUGGGUUUUUCAAGAAAUCUUCAAAAUGGAAAAAUACAAUUAGAAUCCUAUCAUCAGAACCCUAGCUUGGUUUUUGUCAUAGGGACUUGCCAAAUGGAAGUUUGUUUUGGAAGCUGCAGCAGGAGGAAUCAUCCAUGCCUGCAAAGCCAAAGGAUCAGACCUAUGAUUUCAUUUUAAGGAUUGCUACGUUGACAUCUGCUCCCCAGAGUGUCUUUAUGAGUCUUUUGAGGAAGAAGCUAGAUAUUUUCAGUUUGCUACGGCAAUAACAUUGAAUGAUAUUGAUGAAAUAUAGAAGUUUCUUGAUGCUGCUGUUGAUGCAAGAGAAGCUCUUAGUGUAGCAAAAGUCGUAGCUGCAAUGAUUGCUUUAUUUAUAAUCCUUUUGUUAGAAGUCCUUGGUUGGGAUGAUUGCUUAAGUGAGAUAUUAGCAUGGGAUACCUUGGCUUGGUUUGUUGUUCUAGAGUGGGCAUGGCCAGGCAACUGACAAAUCUUGGUAAUGUAACCCGGAUGUCUAGCUGUGUUGCCAAGUUACUUCAAUCCUUCUCUUUGAGCUGACUAGCUGCAUUUGGUGUUCUUCAGGCAUCUUAUUUCUUUAUCCACUACCUAUUUGCAAGUCAUUUUUUACCUCAAGAUUAGUUCACAAACAAUUUGUAAUUUUUGCUAUUUGCAUACUACAUCUAUCUUGUAUGAUAUAAAAUUAUAUUCAAAAUUUGUU